rnacentral:misc_RNA from 1 species
GUGAAUCAUCAAAUCUUUGAACGCAAAUUGCACUCUCUGGUAUUCCGGAGAGUAUGCCUGUUUGAGGGUCAGUUUAAAUAAAAAUCGGUGUGGUUGCUGCCUUUCGUGGCGACGUACCGGAUUUGGGUCGUCUUGCCUUCGGUUAAGUGACCUAAAAUUUUGCAUGAUUUUUCCAACCUAUUUUAAUGACUUUUCCGUCCGUUGGCGUAUU